UACGUAGGGUGCGAGCGUUGUCCGGAAUUACUGGGCGUAAAGAGCUCGUAGGUGGUUUGUCGCGUUGUUCGUGAAAACUCACAGCUUAACUGUGGGCGUGCGGGCGAUACGGGCAGGCUGGAGUUCGGUAGGGGAGACUGGAAUUCCUGGUGUAGCGGUGAAAUGCGCAGAUAUCAGGAGGAACACCGGUGGCGAAGGCGGCAUCCUGGACCGGCAUUGACGCUGAGGCGCGAAAGCCAGGGGAGCAAACGGG
rnacentral:rRNA from 1 species